UGAGGAAUAUUGGUCAAUGGGCGCGAGCCUGAACCAGCCAAGUAGCGUGAAGGAUGAAGGUCCUAUGGAUUGUAAACUUCUUUUAUAGCAGAAUAAAGUGACCCACGUGUGGGUUUUUGUAUGUAUGCUAUGAAUAAGGAUCGGCUAACUCCGUGCCAGCAGCCGCGGUAAUACGGAGGAUCCGAGCGUUAUCCGGAUUUAUUGGGUUUAAAGGGUGCGUAGGCGGAAAGAUAAGUCAGCCUGUGAAAGUUUGCGGCUCAACCGUAAAAUGGCAGGUGAUACUGUUUUUCUUGAGUGUACAUAAGGUAGGCGGAAUUCGUGGUGUAGCGGUGAAAUGCGUAGAUAUCACGAAGAACUCCGAUUGCGAAGGCAGCUUACCGGGGUACAACUGACGCUGAUGCACGAAAGUGUGGGUAUCAAACA
rnacentral:rRNA from 1 species